rnacentral:tRNA from 1 species
GUGCGUGUAUCCGAAUUGGCAUAGGAGCUGCUUUGAGAUGGCAGUGUCGAAAGACAUUGUGGGUUCAAUUCCCACCAUGCACACCA